AGCUCACACCAGAGUGCCUGCCAGCAUGGUAGUUAGGUGAAAGCAAUGAUACAAACUAUUACCUUAAAUUCGGCAUAAAGGGAUGAAGGCACUGAGCUGUCAGGGAUGUGAACAACUGGAUUAAAUUCUAUGGAGAGCUUUUAAAAAAUCAUAACAAGUCAAUGGGUCACGGUCUUCGCAGCAUAAAGGAAAAAAAUGCUAAAGCCUCAUUUCUGAGACCAAGCAACAUGGCCGCAGCAGCUGCAAGGUCACAGGGAUUGAAACAGAACCAUGAAAAAGAAACCACAGCCACAAGAGCGACAGUAGAAAUGACUCGUAAGUUUUUUUCCAUCAUAGUGACUGGAGAACUGCAUUCCUUUCUGUAAGCAAAGCUGGCUCGAUUGCUAUACCACCGAAACUGUUUCCCCGGUUUGGGAAUGAAAAGGCUUUCCACCUCUGUGAAAAGUUUUUGAUACUUGAAUCAAGAUCAUAGAGGAGAUUCAACAGAGCAAAUAAUGCUCUUUGAAACCUGUAAAGAUUAUUUAUUGUGACAGCUAUUCAUUUUGAAAAUAAAAGUGCCUUGGAUGAAAGAACCACAUAGCCAACACUGGAGAUGUUACCCAGAAAUAUCAAAACCUGUUUUCCCUCACCAGCUUGGAUUCUUUCUGCCAGUUCUGCAAAAGACAGCUGGAUUGCAGUGCUGAAGAAAGGGAAGGAAAGGAUCUGUUGGCAACAACUAUAAUUUAUCAAAACAGUGAGAAGAACUCCCUUUGGGUGAAAUGGAAGGUAGCCAUCAGCACCAAGCUAAACUGCCAGAUCUGCAACUUCACUUUAGCACCAAGUACAGAGGAGAUGGUUUGUACUUCCUAUCAACAGUUAAGCAAAAGAAAAGGAGGAAAAAUGGCAAGCAUAUCUCUUAGCAAACACAAUAUGAUCACAGUCCUUCAAAGUGUCUGGGUGGAAAGCUGAAACUGAGAGAAUUUGACAUAAGAAAAUUCAGACACUGCUUCUGUUCCAGCUUUUCCAGCUCUUCAGUUAUAUUUCCUUUCCUUUUCCUUACUUUUCAUUCAUUGCCAGUUUUUGGUUGCUAGUCAAAAGUAGUUUCUUUUUUUUUUUUUUUUUAACAAAAUAAUAAGAAAAAAGGUUGAGCAGAAAUUUUCCCAAGUAUUUCAACAAAUUAUACAGAGCUCUAGUCAUUUACAGGCUGAUGGUCAAGUAGGUAUAACUAGUCUUCCCUCAGACGUCCAUCCUUUCAUUUCCAUGCAUCCUUGCUGUAAACUACGAAUCCAAGUAAAUAAUAAAUGAAUGCACUUGCCAUCAGGAAGAAUAAAUGGAAUUAUCUUGAACUAUGGAAACUGCAGAAUGGAUAAGU